AACGAACGCUGGCGGCAUGCCUAACACAUGCAAGUCGAACGAGACCUUCGGGUCUAGUGGCGCACGGGUGCGUAACGCGUGGGAACCUGCCCUUAGGUUCGGAAUAACUCCUCGAAAGGGGUGCUAAUACCGGAUGAUGUCGAAAGACCAAAGAUUUAUCGCCUUUGGAUGGGCCCCGCGUAGGAUUAGGUAGUUGGUGGGGUAAAGGCCUACCAAGCCGACGAUCCUUAGCUGGUCUGAGAGGAUGAUCAGCCACACUGGGACUGAGACACGGCCCAGACUCCUACGGGAGGCAGCAGUGGGGAAUAUUGGACAAUGGGCGAAAGCCUGAUCCAGCAAUGCCGCGUGAGUGAUGAAGGCCUUAGGGUUGUAAAGCUCUUUUACCAGGGAUGAUAAUGACAGUACCUGGAGAAUAAGCUCCGGCUAACUCCGUG
rnacentral:rRNA from 1 species